rnacentral:rRNA from 1 species
UACGAAGGGGGCUAGCGUUGUUCGGAAUCACUGGGCGUAAAGGGCGCGUAGGUGGCCUUUUGAGUCAGACGUGAAAUCCCCCGGCUUAACCUGGGAACUGCGUCUGAUACUGGAAGGCUUGAGUUCGGGAGAGGGAUGUGGAAUUCCAGGUGUAGCGGUGAAAUGCGUAGAUAUCUGGAGGAACACCGGUGGCGAAGGCGGCAUCCUGGACCGAAACUGACACUGAGGCGCGAAAGCCAGGGGAGCAAACGGG